rnacentral:tRNA from 1 species
UCCCUGGUGGCUCAGAAGGUAAAGAAUCCGCCUGCAAUGCGGGAGACCUGGGUUCGAUCCCUGGGUUGGGAA